UAAUACGAAGGGGGCUAGCGUUGUUCGGAAUUACUGGGCGUAAAGCGCACGCAGGCGGUUUGUUAAGUCAGAUGUGAAAUCCCCGGGCUCAACCUGGGAACUGCAUUUGAAACUGGCAAGCUAGAGUCUCGUAGAGGGGGGUAGAAUUCCAGGUGUAGCGGUGAAAUGCGUAGAGAUCUGGAGGAAUACCGGUGGCGAAGGCGGCCCCCUGGACGAAGGACUGACGCUCAGGUGCGAAAGCGUGGGGAGCAAACAGGAUUAGAUACCCUGGUAGUCCACGCUGUAAACGAUGUCGAUUUGGAGGUUGUGCCCUUGAGGCGUGGCUUCCGGAGCUAACGCGUUAAAUCGACCGCCUGGGGAGUACGGCCGCAAGGUUA
rnacentral:rRNA from 1 species